rnacentral:rRNA from 1 species
AUUGAACGCUGGCGGCAGGCUUAACACAUGCAAGUCGAGCGGGGGAAGGUAGCUUGCUACCGGACCUAGCGGCGGACGGGUGAGUAAUGCUUAGGAAUCUGCCCGAUAGUGGGGGACAACGUUUCGAAAGGAACGCUAAUACCGCAUACGUCCUACGGGAGAAAGUGGGGGCUCUUCGGACCUCACGCUAUCGGAUGAGCCUAGGUCGGAUUAGCUAGUUGGUGGGGUAAAGGCUCACCAAGGCGACGAUCCGUAACUGGUCUGAGAGGAUGAUCAGUCACACUGGAACAGAGACACGGUCCAGACUCCUACGGGAGGCAGCAGUGGGGAAUAUUGGACAAUGGGCGAAAGCCUGAUCCAGCCAUGCCGCGUGUGUGAAGAAGGUCUUCGGAUUGUAAAACACUUUAAGUCGGGAGGAAGGGCUGCAGGUUAAUACCUUGCAGCCUUGACGUUACCGACAGAAUAAGCACCGGCUAACUUCGUGCCAGCAGCCGCAGUAA